rnacentral:rRNA from 1 species
UACCAGCACCCCGAGUGGUUGGGACGAUUAUUGGGCCUAAAGCAUCCGUAGCCGGUUCUGCAAGUCCUCCGUUAAAUCCACCUGCUCAACAGAUGGGCUGCGGAGGAUACCGCAGAGCUAGGAGGCGGGAGAGGCAAGCGGUACUUUAUGGGUAGGGGUAAAAUCCGUUGAUCCAUAGAAGACCACCGAGUGGACGAAGCGGCUUGCCAGAACGCGCUCGACGGUGAGGGAUGAAAGCUGGGGGAGCAAACCGG